UGAGGAAUAUUGCACAAUGGGGGAAACCCUGAUGCAGCAACGCCGCGUGGAGGAUGACGGCCCUUGGGUUGUAAACUCCUUUUCUGUGGGACGAGAGAGGACGGUACCACAGGGAUAAGUCACGGCUAACUACGUGCCAGCAGCCGCGGUAAUACGUAGGUGGCGAGCGUUAUCCGGAAUUACUGGGCGUAAAGCGCAAGCAGGCGGUCUGUUAAGUUUGACGUAAAAUCUCCUGGCUUAACUGGGAGGGGUCGUUGGAGACUGGCAGACUUGAGGCGAUGAGAGGGGCAUGGAAUUCCCGGUGUAGUGGUGGAAUGCGUAGAGAUCGGGAGGAACACCAGAGGCGAAAGCGGUACCCUGGCAUUGGCCUGACGCUGAGAUGCGAAAGCGUGGGGAGCGAACGGGAUUAGAUACCCCGGUAGUCCACGCCGUAAACGAUGAGCACUGGGUGUCGGUGGGGUUAGAGCCAUCGGUGCCGAAGCAAACGCGUUAAGUGCUCCGCCU
rnacentral:rRNA from 1 species